AUGAACUUAAUUUCUGUGCCAGACCAAAGGAGGUGAAAGCCCGAGCAACUGGAUAGGAUGAGGGCUGCAUAUCCUUCGGAUAAAAAAAUCACUGCCUUAAUUUCAGAUAUUGUCACAUGAGGUUUUUUUGGUUUAUUUGACUAGGCCACGUAGAGCAAUCAAGAGGAACAUGAACAUAAUCUAAGCAAGAGCUCAGUCUUUAGGACGCUCUCAUUGUGAAAUCUUUAAUUUCAGGUUACACUUCAUGCAGAGUAGUUGAAGAAAAGAGGACAAUGCCUUUUCGCUAAAAGCAUCCUGUUCGUAGCAGGCGGUAGAGAUGGCACAGGAACCACCCGAGUGCCUGGAAGAGGUUGCAGCAGCCGGCAUUUUGCAGAUCAAUUAGGCACCGAUGCGCGUGCUCCUUAAAAAACAACAACAACAACAACAACAACAACAAACUCAGAAAGGAUACUUCUGACAAGCACAACAUUUGGAGGAGUCUGGAGAGAAGAAGUUGGAAAAAUGAGAUACCCGGGAAGGCGUACUUCAGAGAAAUUUUGAAAGGGACAAAUAGUAGCUACAAAGAGAACCUGCACCCUGCAUACAUUCCAUUUGCUUUCUCAAAAGAAAUGGUGAAGGUCAACAUUUUGUCCAAAAAAAUUUUUUUAAUUUAAAAAUUCUUGCUUUGUAUAGUUACAGAAGUACUGGAUGCUCAUCAAACAAAGCUCAUAUAUUACAGAAGCAUGUGUGAAAUAUCUUGAACUCACAGCCUCAAUCCUGUUUUUAGUCCCAUAAUUACUAGCACU
rnacentral:lncRNA from 1 species